GCCCUCGCUGUGUAAUAGUAGCACACACGGGUCGUAUUCAAAAGGUCCAGGUUCGAAUCCUGGCGAGGGCA
rnacentral:tRNA from 1 species